rnacentral:lncRNA from 1 species
CGAGAUCCCGCCACUGCACUCCAGCCUGGGCGACAGAGCGAGACUCCGUCUCAAAAAAAAAAAAACAAUAAGGGCACUAAGAGCCACAAGCUAGGGGAAUAGUGGAAGGCAGGAGUUAGACCUAUGAUAAUCAAGCCUGACAGGGCUAAGUUUGAACUCUGUAUGAACUUUUAAUGAGAUAUAGCAGAACCCCUUAUUUGCAUCUCGUCCCUCUAAGAUGAGGUUUGCUGAGCUUCGGAAAUGGUUUAAUGAUAUACUCAAGAUGGAAAAGACUUGAAGUGAGUAAAUUACAGUUGGGCAAAUCAGUAACUGUCAAAAGAAGGAACGUUCCUGACCUCGGCCCAAGGGUAUCGCUGUGCUCUGCUUACUUUGUGCUCACCAUCAUCCUUUGGCCUUUCUUCUCUAACACAGUUCCUGUAUCCAGCCUCAUGCUUUGCUGUGCCUGUAACUGUCUUCUCCCCACAGAUAACCUGUCAUUGAAGUACAUGAAGAAAAUAGUCAAAUAUGUGCCCAUGGGUUUUCCUGAGUACUUCCUACAGGGUAUGCAGUCCACUCUGAAGAUCACAGCCUAGGACCAUAAGUAUGCAGUGAAUAUCUUAAAGACAAUAAAGCUCUAUCCACAGAAUUCUGAGGAUGGAGCUGAUGCUGGAAAAUCAGUAUUCUCUUAGGCAAUGUUACAUCAUCUCCUUAUAACUAUGCUACAUGCUCUCAGUAUUAUUUAUAUCAUCUUUCCUUCCCUUCCACCCAACAGUCUCAUUUCAAGAGAUUUAACCUAAAAAGAUACAAGAACAGGUGCACAUAUAUAUAUGGACAAGGUUAUGCAUCACAGCAAUUUUUAAAACAGCAACAAAAAUAAUAGCAAUAUGGUUAAAUGUGUCAAUCAUGUAUUGGCCUAUAAAAGUAUGCUAUUUCAUUAGUCUAUAGACUAAUUGGGCUACAGACUAACCAUUAAAUGCUUUCCUUCAUGUGGCACUAUA